GACGAACGCUGGCGGCGUGCCUAAUACAUGCAAGUCGAGCGAACCGACGAGGUGCUUGCACCUUUGACGUUAGCGGCGAACGGGUGAGUAACACGUAAGGAAUCUACCUAUAAGUGGGGGAUAACACCCGGAAACGGGUGCUAAUACCGCAUAAUACUAUCGGGGGGCAUCCCUUGGUAGUCAAAGAUUUAUUGCUAAAAGAUGGGCUCGCGUCUGAUUAGCUGGAUGGCGGGGUAACGCCCACCAUGGCGACGAUCAGUAGCCGGACUGAGAGGUUGAACGGCCACAUUGGGACUGAGAUACGGCCCAG
rnacentral:rRNA from 1 species